rnacentral:rRNA from 1 species
AGUGAACGCUGGCGGUAGGCCUAACACAUGCAAGUCGAACGGCAGCACAGUAAGAGCUUGCUCUUACGGGUGGCGAGUGGCGGACGGGUGAGGAAUACAUCGGAAUCUACUUUUUCGUGGGGGAUAACGUAGGGAAACUUACGCUAAUACCGCAUACGACCUACGGGUGAAAGCAGGGGAUCUUCGGACCUUGCGCGAUUGAAUGAGCCGAUGUCGGAUUAGCUAGUUGGCGGGGUAAAGGCCCACCAAGGCGACGAUCCGUAGCUGGUCUGAGAGGAUGAUCAGCCACACUGGAACUGAGACACGGUCCAGACUCCUACGGGAGGCAGCAGUGGGGAAUAUUGGACAAUGGGCGCAAGCCUGAUCCAGCCAUACCGCGUGGGUGAAGAAGGCCUUCGGGUUGUAAAGCCCUUUUGUUGGGAAAGAAAAGCAGCAGGUUAAUACCCCGCUGUUCUGAUGUUACCCAAAGAAUAAGCACCGGCUAACUUCGUG